GGGGGAGGGGGGGAAACUUCACUGCACUAAGACUGAGCUUUGAAUGGUCAAGCUAUGAAAAUGUAUUUUCAAUGUUAACUUUUACCGCGACUGACCAGUCCGUGCUAUCAUACAAAGAACUUUAAACUCUAAACUUUGUUAAGGUGACUUAUUGUUAUGCUAGAAUAAUUUAAAUAUUAUUGUAAACAUAAACACAUGUUUCCAAUAUAACAACAAAUCCAUGUGCUAUCGAUAGUUAAUAAAUACAUUCUUGUUUACUAAUGCAACACAAUGAUACGCAAUUCUCU
rnacentral:lncRNA from 1 species